AUUCAGUUGACGAGUUCCAAAUAGGACGAAACGUGCGUUCUGGAU
rnacentral:hammerhead_ribozyme from 1 species